UUACAGCUAAUAGUCAGGAAACUGACUGAAGUUAAGAGAAAUGGCUGGUCUUUGCUCUAUGUCUGAAGUUUCUGCUGGAGUUUGGUAUCUGGAAGAUCUUCUACUCUAGUUGAUUCUGGCUAAAGAAAAUGAACAAAUACAACACAAUUAGAACUAACUUCUGCCGUGUCCAUAAAUAUGAGGAAAAUGAAAGUUCAUAUGGAAUGCAUCUGACUUAGGUUAUACAGAAACAAGAUUGCUGCGUUUGCUGGACUUAUACCCGAACUAUGAAGUCUGGGACACACGAGCUGAUUGGAACCUGUUUCUCUGUGUGAAUGCACCGUGCUUCAGCAUCCUGUAUUGAUCCUCGGGAAAUGCUGAUGGAAUGAUUAACGAGAGCAAAAGAGUCAUCUUUCUCCGAGCCCCUGCUUACAUCACCUCAUAGUAGCCUCUGGGAAAUGCUCAGAGCCAUAUUCCAAAGGGGCUACCCAAGGCUAAGGGUACAGAGAAGAACUAAUUAAAGGAAUUUGUGGCCUUAUUCUUCACUAAAGCUAGAGUAGACCAAACAAACAGAAACAGUUUAAAACCACUAAACGUCAUCAUAAAGCUAAUGAGCAAGAGGGAAUCACUUACUGUGAAAAUCCAGUGAUGUGGGAACCAUUGGUACUUAAGACUUCCCCUGACCACUCCCUUCUAAUCGCACUCCAGAUCUGUGUGGCCAGGACCACUUCCAGACAGGAAGUGUUCUUCCACUGAGGAACGGUUCCAGCAUAUUUACUCUGCCUUCCCCACCCCCCCUGCCUACUAUUUCA
rnacentral:lncRNA from 1 species